rnacentral:tmRNA from 1 species
GGGGCCGAUCUGGAUUUGACAGCAAGAUCAAUGAGAUCGUAAGCAUGCCGAGCUAUGAUGUUAAUGCUCGUAAAUCUCUACUUCAACCAUUUUAAAUGGCGAAAACAAUUACGCUUUAGCUGCCUAAUAAUCUGAAUUAUAGUAAGAUUUGGCCUAGUCUCGCGAGGCGAGAGAGCUAAAUGUCUCUAGAAAGCCCUUGUUGGCGGCGUUCUUCAAAGAGGCACCAUUAAAGUCAACAACGAGUGACUUUUGCUUCGCAAGUCACUUUAAAUUUAGAAGCUAAGAGAGUGAGUAGAGGGUCACUGAUCAGCUCUUCUCUGACAAUCACUCAGUGAAUAAGCAUGUAGAAAGCGUUUGAAUUGCUUGUUUGGACGAGGGUUCGAACCCCUCCGGCUCCACU